GCCUAGCCCUAAACCUUGGUAAUACAUCACACACCCUACCCGCCUGGGAACUACGAGCACCAGCUUAAAACCCAAAGGACUUGGCGGUGCUUUAGACCCCCCUAGAGGAGCCUGUUCUAGAACCGAUAACCCCCGUUCAACCUCACCCUUCCUUGUUUAUCCCGCCUAUAUACCGCCGUCGUCAGCUUACCCUGUGAAGGCCUAAAAGUAAGCACAACUGGCACAACCCAAAACGUCAGGUCGAGGUGUAGCGCAUGGAGGGGGAAGAAAUGGGCUACAUUCCCUAUAUUAGGGAACACGAACGGCGCACUGAAACACGCGCCUGAAGGAGGAUUUAGUAGUAAGCGGAAAAUAGCGUGUUCCGCUGAAAUCGGCCCUGAAGCGCGC
rnacentral:rRNA from 2 species